UAUAUAGUUUGUUAUAGAUUGAUAAUACCGUUCUUCAUUGAUGCUAUUAUUUCAUUGAUGUGUUUGGUUGAAGGAUUGAACACCUUGAAACUGGAUGAUCAUAUAAGAGUGUUUCAAAUUUUUCCUAUUUGAGUGUCUGAUAUAUAUAUAUAUAUAUAUAUAUUUGUUAGAUUUAUAAGAUAGAGAAUUUAGUGGCAGUUAUGGCUCGUAGAAAGUUGUCGAAGACAAAAAGGAUUAUUCUAAUGCUGGACAAUAUUAAGGAUUUGCUUAAGUUUGUCGUCAUGAUAUACAUUAUGAUGUAUAUCAUUGCAGAACGACAUUAUCGGAAGUAUAGAUUGAAAUCACCAUCUAUUUAUGAAAAUAAAAUGGUUGUUUGCGAAAAACAAGUGUAUGACGAUUGGGUUAAGGUUCACAAGGAAGCCAAAGGACUAAGACUUAAACCAUUCAUUCAUUAUGAUAGUUUGGUUAAAAUUUAAUCUUCAUAUCUAGUUAUGUUGUAUAUGACAGGUUCACAAGGAAACCAAAAGACUAAGACUUAAACCAUUCAUUCAUUAUGAUAGUUUGGUGGAAGCUUUUGGGAGAGAUAGAGCCAAUGGGUUAGGAGCUGAAGGACCUGCUGAAGCGAAUGAAGAUUUGAAUAAUGAUAAUGAAUUUGUUGAUCUUGAAGGAGAUGGUUUGCCUGAAAAUAUUGUUCCUACACCUGCUAGUCGUACAACUUGUUUUGCUUCUAAUUCAACUUGGACUAGAAAGCGAGCAAGGGACGCUUAUGCUCAAUGCUUGGGAGACAUGGCUAGCACACUUCGCUCCUUUGUGGAUGUGACCAAGACACAUUUGGAGACUAUGAAAGAAGUACUUUUGAAUGACCAUGCAACAUCUACAAAAAGAGGUAAACUUGUCGAAGAGCUUAUGAAAAUUGAAGGUUUGAAUGAUUAUGAUGUGCUUGAGGCUGCUGCUACAAUUAUUGGCGAUGAUUCCAAAAUUGAGCUCUUGUUCAGCUUACCUGACAAUUUAAAGAGCCAAUGGAUUUACAAGCUUCUUAACCACUAGAGAAAUUCAUGCUCAAGACUAAUGUUGGCCUUAAAAUUGCUUUUGUUUUUCUUUUGGCGUGUGGAUGAUCAGAUUAUGGCUCAACAUAAUGUUAUAUUUUGCUCAAACUUCUAUUGGAAGCUAUUGUGUAAUCUGAAUUUUAAUUAUGCUGUGACAUUAGAACUUAGUAUC